CAGGAAGAAAUUUAAAUUCCUCAAAUAACAUGAAGCUGUUUAAUAAUAAUAAGAAUAGGAUUAAAUCAUAACUAGUAUUUCUUGUGAGCAAUACAAACCAAGAGUAUAAAAUUGUCUGGAACAGCACAAUAAGUAAGACUCCAAGUGUGAACGAUGAUAAAAAAAAUAACAAGAAUCUAAAAUCUGAGAGCUUGCUAGACUAAAGUACAUUACUUUUGUUUUAUUGCUCAAUACCAUUUUAUUAACUGCAAACCAGCGUCUUUUAAUGUCCAAAUCAAAUUUAAUAUCAGAAGUUAAGUCAAGCAGAGAUCUACAACCAUAUAUGCAAAAGCUUUAUCAUCAGCAAAUGCUGUAAUUUCUGAAGCCAAGAGUGCCG